rnacentral:tRNA from 1 species
UAAAAAGAUAAGCUAAGUAAGCUUUUGGGUUCAUACCCCAAGUAUAAAGGCCCCCCCCCUUUUCUUUUU